rnacentral:rRNA from 1 species
UGGGGAAUUUUGGACAAUGGGGGAAACCCUGAUCCAGCCAUCCCGCGUGUGCGAUGAAGGCCUUCGGGUUGUAAAGCACUUUUGGCAGGAAAGAAACGUCGCGGGUUAAUACCCCGCGGAACUGACGGUACCUGCAGAAUAAGCACCGGCUAACUACGUGCCAGCAGCCGCGGUAAUACGUAGGGUGCAAGCGUUAAUCGGAAUUACUGGGCGUAAAGCGUGCGCAGGCGGUUCGGAAAGAAAGAUGUGAAAUCCCAGAGCUUAACUUUGGAACUGCAUUUUUAACUACCGGGCUAGAGUGUGUCAGAGGGAGGUGGAAUUCCGCGUGUAGCAGUGAAAUGCGUAGAUAUGCGGAGGAACACCGAUGGCGAAGGCAGCCUCCUGGGAUAACGCUGACGCUCAUGCACGAAAGCGUGGGGAGCAAACAGGAUUAGAUACCCUGGUAGUCCACGCCCUAAACGAUGUCAACUAGCUGUUGGGGUCUUCGGACCUUGGUAGCGCAGCUAACGCGUGAAGUUGACCGCCUGGGGAGUACGGUCGCAAGAUUAAAACUCAAAUGAAUUGAC